rnacentral:rRNA from 1 species
GGGUUAGUCGGGACCUAAGCUGAGGCCGAAAGGCGUAGGUGAUGGACAACAGGUUGAUAUUCCUGUACUACCGAUAACCGUUUGAGAGAUGGGAUGACACAGUAGGAUAAGCUAAGCACACUGUUGGGUAUGUGUGCCCAAGCAUUGAGGCAGUCAAAGUAGGCAAAUCCGCUUUGAUAAUGCUGGGAUGUGAUGGGGAGCGAAAUUUAGUAGCGAA